rnacentral:rRNA from 1 species
AGAGUUUGAUCCUGGCUCAGGAUGAACGCUGGCGGCGUGCCUAAUACAUGCAAGUCGAACGGGUGACUUCGGGCAACUGGGGUCAUCAGUGGCGCACGGGUGAGUGACACGUAGCUGACCUGCCCUGGAGAGGGGGACAACGCCUGGAAACGGGCGCUAAUACCCCAUACGCUCGUGGCGAUUAGAAGGCCAUGAGGAAAGCGGAAACGUGCUCCAGGAGGGGGCUGCGGCCCAUCAGCUAGUUGGUGAGGUAACGGCUCACCAAGGCUUGGACGGGGAGGGGGCCUGAGAGGGUGACCCCCCACACGGGAACUGAGAGACGGUCCCGACUCCUACGGGAGGCAGCAGUAAGGGAUAUUGCGACAAUGGGCGAAAGCCUGACGCAGCAACGCCGCGUGUGGGAUGACGGCCUUCGGGUUGUAAACCACUUUUCGAGGGGAAGAGGAAGGACGGUACCCUCGGAAGAAGUCUCGGCUAACUACGUGCCAGCAGCCGCGGUAAAACGUAGGAGGCAAGCGUUAUCCGGAUUUACUGGGUGUAAAGCGCGUGCAGGCGGUCAUGCAAGUCGCGUGUGAAAGCGCCCGGCUCAACCGGGCGAGGCCGCGCGAAACUGCGUUGACUGAAGGCCGGUAGAGGCGUGUGGAAUUCCGGGUGUAGUGGUGAAAUGCGUAGAGAUCCGGAGGAACACCAGUGGCGAAGGCGACACGCUGGACCGAGCCUGACGCUCAGACGCGACAGCAUGGGGAGCGAACCGGAUUAGAAACCCCGGUAGUCCAUGCCGUAAACGAUGCGCACUAGGUGUGGCGGGUAACCAUUCCGGCUGUGCCGCAGCAAACGCGAUAAGUGCGCCACCUGGGGACUACGGCCGCAAGGUUAAAACUCAAAGGAAUUGACGGGGGCCCGCACAAGCAGCGGAGCGUGUGGUUUAAUUCGAGCCUACACGAAGAACCUUACCUGGGCUUGACAGGAGAGUGGUAGGGAAGGGAAACCGGACCGACCUUCGGGAGCUCUCCCGGGUGCUGCAUGGCUGUCGUCAGCUCGUGUCGUGAGAUGUUCGGUUAAGUCCGGUAACGAGCGCAACCCCUGCCGGUAGUUACACGUUGUCUACCGGGACUGCCCGUAGAAAGCGGGAGGAAGGUGGGGAUGACGUCAAGUCAGCAUGGCCUUGAUGUCCAGGGCUACACACACGCUACAAUGGCCGGCACAAUGGGUAGCCAACCCGCGAGGGGGAGCCAAUCUUAUCAAAGCCGGUCUCAGUUCGGAUUGCAGGCUGCAACCCGCCUGCAUGAAGUCGGAGUUGCUAGUAACCGCGGGUCAGCUAUACCGCGGUGAAUACGUUCCCGGGCCUUGUACACACCGCCCGUCACGUCAUGGGAGCUGGUCAUGCCUGAAGUCGGUGGGCCAACCGUAAGGAGGCAGCCGCCAAAGGCAGGGCUGGUGACUGGGACGAAGUCGUAACAAGGUA